rnacentral:lncRNA from 1 species
CCUGCAUGCCAUACUAGUAUCUCUAUAUCAUUUGGUUACAAGGAUAAUCAACGCAUAUGGCACACAACAGCUUACACUUGAUAUCGCUAUCAUCCUAGUAAUAGUGUCUCAUUUGAUCGUGAAUUAGUUUAAGAACUAUAUGAUAAUUCUUCUCUUAUCAAUCAAAGUAGUCCUAAGGACUUCAUCAUAACAUAAAAGUUCAUUAGAAGAUGUAUCCUUGUGAUAAAAAAUAUCAAAUAAUUUUUAUUAUUUAUCAAUUCAUAUACAAUUAUAGUUAGC